rnacentral:tRNA from 1 species
GGCGGCGUAGCUCAGUUGGCUAGAGCAAUCGGUUCAUACCCGAUCGGUCCGCGGUUCGAAUCCGUGCGCCGCCA